rnacentral:rRNA from 1 species
GACGAACGCUGGCGGCGUGCCUAAUACAUGCAAGUAGAACGCUGAAGGAGGAGCUUGCUUCUCUGGAUGAGUUGCGAACGGGUGAGUAACGCGUAGGUAACCUGCCUGGUAGCGGGGGAUAACUAUUGGAAACGAUAGCUAAUACCGCAUAAUAGUAGAUGUUGCAUGACAUUUGCUUAAAAGGUGCAAUUGCAUCACUACCAGAUGGACCUGCGUUGUUUUAGCUUGUUGGUGGGGUAACGGCUCACCAAGGCGACGAUACAUAGCCGACCUGAGAGGGGGAUCGGCCACACUGGGACUGGGACACGGCCCAGACUCCUACGGGAGGCAGCAGUAGGGAAACUUCGGCAAUGGACGGAAGUCUGACCGAGCAACGCCGCGUGAGUGAAGAAGGUUUUCGGAUCGUAAAGCUCUGUUGUAAGAGAAGAACGAGUGUGAGAGUGGAAAGUUCACACUGUGACGGUAUCUUACCAGAAAGGACCGGCUAACUACGUG